rnacentral:lncRNA from 1 species
AGCUGCAGGCGGGUUUGGACGGCGAAACGAAUCUGUGAAGUUGAUAUAUAUUACUCCAUCUGUUCACGAAAGUAAAAUUUUCUAUAGUUUUCAUGUUUAUUAAAAAUAUGAUAAAGGAUUACAAUUUAAUUUACUAUUUAUUUUUCAAUACGUUUUCCAAUAAUUAUAUACUAAUAAAAUUUAAUCAAUUCAAAUAUUCACAAUUAAUGUUUCUCAAAAGUAUACAAAAAUACCUUAAAAAUAUAGAAAAUCUUAUUUUGUGGAAUAAGAAUAAACUGUAGAAAAUCUUAUUUUCGAGAACGGAAGGAGUAUAAGUAUAACAAGAUGUUCAAAGUCAGAACAAUUAUAAAGUGAACU